CAGCCGCCGCGGGAAUACAGAGGGUGCGAGCGUUAAUCGGAUUUACUGGGCGUAAAGCGUGCGUAGGCGGCUUUUUAAGUCGGAUGUGAAAUCCCUGAGCUUAACUUAGGAAUUGCAUUCGAUACUGGGAAGCUAGAGUAUGGGAGAGGAUGGUAGAAUUCCAGGUGUAGCGGUGAAAUGCGUAGAGAUCGGAAGGAACAUCUGUGGCGAAGGCGACUAUCUGGGCCAACACUGACACUGAGGCACGAAAGCGUGGGGAGCAAACAGGAUUAGAUACCCCGGUAGUCCCUGUCUCUUAUAA
rnacentral:rRNA from 1 species